GGCAAAUAAUAAAUAAGGAUCAGAAGAGGGCGUCAACAUGAGGGGUUAGGGCCCCGACUCAGACUCUUCCCACAAACAAGUAAAAAGAAUGGUAAUUACACAAACAACACAUUUGUGAACGCGUCGAUCAGCUGGCAAGGAAGUGAGGGGUGCUCGGCCCCAGGACCUCCAGAGAGGUCUCUACCUUU
rnacentral:lncRNA from 1 species